rnacentral:rRNA from 1 species
UACGAAGGGGGCUAGCGUUGCUCGGAAUUACUGGGCGUAAAGCGCGCGUAGGCGGUGAUCUUUGUCAGAGGUGAAAUCCCGAGGCUCAACUUCGGAAUUGCCUUUGAAACGGGAUCGCUUGAGUCCGAGAGAGGAUGGCGGAAUUCCUAGUGUAGAGGUGAAAUUCGUAGAUAUUAGGAAGAACACCGGUGGCGAAGGCGGCCAUCUGGCUCGGUACUGACGCUCAGGCGCGAAAGCGUGGGGAGCAAACAGG